UACAGAGGGUGCUAGCGUUGUUCGGAAUCAUUGGGCGUAAAGGGCGUGUAGGCGGUUUGUUAAGUCAUGUGUGAAAUCCCUCGGCUCAACCGGGGAACGACGCAUGAAACUGGCAAGCUAGAGUACCAAAGAGGGGGUGGAAUUCCCGGUGUAGCGGUGAAAUGCGUAGAUAUCAAGUGGAACACCAGUGGCGAAGGCGAGUCCCUGGACAACUCCUGACACUGAGGCACGAAAGCUAGGGGAGCAAACAGG
rnacentral:rRNA from 1 species